rnacentral:tRNA from 5 species
AAAAUCCGUCGAUUUCAAAAAUCAUGAGG